UACGUAGGUGGCAAGCGUUAUCCGGAUUUACUGGGUGUAAAGGGCGUGUAGGCGGGACUGCAAGUCAGAUGUGAAACCCAUGGGCUCAACCCAUGGCCUGCAUUUGAAACUGUAGUUCUUGAGUGAUGGAGAGGCAGGCGGAAUUCCGUGUGUAGCGGUGAAAUGCGUAGAUAUACGGAGGAACACCAGUGGCGAAGGCGGCCUGCUGGACAUCAACUGACGCUGAGGCGCGAAAGCGUGGGGAGCAAACAGG
rnacentral:rRNA from 1 species